CGUCAGGUCAUGACGUCACGCCUUACGUAAAGUGUGAGGAGGAGAAUGUCUCCCCUCCUCUCCGCUCUCUGGCAGUCGACAAGCUUAGCUAGUCGAUCGAUCUUCGGAGUAGGAGGAGGCCGGCAGCCAUGGCGGCGAUGCUCAAGGUCUACGCCGACCGCCUCUCGCAGCCCUCCCGUGCCCUAAUCAUCUUCUGCAGGGUGAACAAGCUCGAUUUCGAGGAGGUGACCGUCAAUCUGGGCAAGGGCCAGCACCGCACCCCAGAGUUCAAUAAAAUCAACCCAAUGGGUCAAGUCCCGGUGAUUGUUGAUGGAAGAUUCAGACUCUUCGAAAGCCAUGCUAUCUUGAGGUAUCUUGCGACGGUCUUCCCUGGAGUUCCAGAUCACUGGUAUCCUGUGGACUUGUUUACUAGAGCAAAAAUCGAGUCCAUCUUGGAUUGGCAUCACUCAAAUUUACGCCGUGGUGCAGCAACCUUUGUACUGCACACUGUAUUGGGUCCUUCUCUUGGUAUGACACCAAAUCCCAAGGCUGCAAAAGAGGGUGAAAACCUGCUGGUGAGGUCACUGAAAACAAUUGAAUCUGUAUGGCUCAAAGGUGACACAAAAUUCUUUUUUCGAGAAAACGCAAUGACAUUGCGUUUCUUUUCAUUGCAAAGGAGAAGAAUAGUUUGUUACAAGAUCACACCUCCAUGGAGGGUGAAAAACAACCGGCAACUAACUGAAAAACUAGUGCACAUCCCAGUCUACAGGUAACACGGCGCGAAGGCCAAGGGCUCCAGCUCUCGCCCAAAGUGCCGCCUCUGCCUUGAUCUUGUCAUUCACUCUCUGGAUGGACGGCUGCUCUCCAUCGAAGACACAUGAGUUUCGGUGCUUCCAAAUCAACCAGGGCACAAGAAGCGUGGCGGUUGCAAGGCCUUUUCGCAUUGGCUUGGGUGUGUGCUGCCUUGCAGUAAUCCACCAUUCGUGGAGGGUAGGCUCGCUGUCAGGAGGUCGACAAGGAAGCCGUAGCCAGGACAGUGUGUCGUACCAAACCUGCCUAGAGAAGGGGCAAGCCAAGGUGAGGUGAUGCAUGGACUCGGCCUCUUGGUCGCAUAGCAGGCACCGAGGAUGGUGCUGCAGCCCUCGCCGUCGUAGCCGCUCCGCCGUCCAGCACCGGUCUUUGUUAGCCAACCAAUGGAAGAAUUUGACGCGCGGAGGCGCCCAAGUUUUCCACAGCAGCUUCCAGGCCGGGCAAGCCCUGGACCCCUGGAAUGUGCUCCGGUAGCAGGACUUUGCCGAGUAAACGCCAUUUGCACUCCAUCUCCAGACGAUCUGAUCAGGCUGGUCUGUGAGGACAGUCGCCUCCACCCGUGUCCAGAGCAUAAGGUACUGGCCCAGCUCUUGGAGUCCAAGCACGCCGUGGAUGUCACGCGCCCAGCUGUGGUCGAGCAGCCCAUCUCUGAUGGAGGUUGCCUUCCGACGUCUCUUAGGGAUACAUGCGUAUAGCUCAGGGGCGAUUUGACUGACAGAGCGACCGGCGAUCCAUCUGUCUUCCCAGAAUCUGCCGAGGUGUCCGUCGCCAACGAUCAUGUGCGUCGAGGCAAAGAACAGGCUCUGAAUGGCAACCCCCAGCCAUCAAUCGCGGACCUCAGCCUAGUGUGCGAGAUAAUGCAGCUGGAGCUGGUGGGUGAUGAGAGGCGUGACAGU